rnacentral:misc_RNA from 1 species
UUAGUUUAUUUAACUAUUUUCAGAUUUAACAUGGUUAAAAAGAGUUUAUUGCGGGCUACUGACGAGCACUGGCCAAGGGUCAAAACCCCCGACGGUCCGGUUAAAGACGGGCCCGCCAAAGCAACAUGGUAGUUAUACAAAGGGUUGGAGGUCGGGCCUAGAAGACCCUAACUCAUUAAUGAUCCUUCCGCAGGUUCACCUACGGAAA